rnacentral:rRNA from 1 species
AGAGUUUGAUCAUGGCUCAGGACGAACGCUGGCGGCGCGCCUAACACAUGCAAGUCGAACGAGCGAGAGAGAGUUUGCUUUCUCAAGCGAGUGGCGAACGGGUGAGUAACGCGUGAGGAACCUGCCUCAAAGAGGGGGACAACAGUUGGAAACGACUGCUAAUACCGCAUAAGCCCACGGCUCGGCAUCGAGCAGAGGGAAAAGGAGCAAUCCGCUUUGAGAUGGCCUCGCGUCCGAUUAGCUAGUUGGUGAGGUAACGGCCCACCAAGGCGACGAUCGGUAGCCGGACUGAGAGGUUGAACGGCCACAUUGGGACUGAGACACGGCCCAGACUCCUACGGGAGGCAGCAGUGGGGAAUAUUGCACAAUGGGGGAAACCCUGAUGCAGCGACGCCGCGUGGAGGAAGAAGGUCUUCGGAUUGUAAACUCCUGUUGUUGAGGAAGAUAAUGACGGUACUCAACAAGGAAGUGACGGCUAACUACGUGCCAGCAGCCGCGGUAAAACGUAGGUCACAAGCGUUGUCCGGAAUUACUGGGUGUAAAGGGAGCGCAGGCGGGAAGACAAGUUGGAAGUGAAAUCCAUGGGCUCAGCCCAUGAACUGCUUUCAAAACUGUUUUUCUUGAGUAGUGCAGAGGUAGGCGGAAUUCCCGGUGUAGCGGUGGAGUGCGUAGAUAUCGGGAGGAACACCAGUGGCGAAGGCGGCCUACUGGGCACCAACUGACGCUGAGGCUCGAAAGUGUGGGUAGCAAACAGGAUUAGAUACCCUGGUAGUCCACACUGUAAACGAUGAUUACUAGGUGUUGGAGGAUUGACCCCUUCAGUGCCGCAGUUAACACAAUAAGUAAUCCACCUGGGGAGUACGACCGCAAGGUUGAAACUCAAAGGAAUUGACGGGGGCCCGCACAAGCAGUGGAGUAUGUGGUUUAAUUCGACGCAACGCGAAGAACCUUACCAAGUCUUGACAUCCUGCGACGCACAUAGAAAUACGUGUUUCCUUCGGGACGCAGAGACAGGUGGUGCAUGGUUGUCGUCAGCUCGUGUCGUGAGAUGUUGGGUUAAGUCCCGCAACGAGCGCAACCCUUAUGGUCAGUUACUACGCAAGAGGACUCUGGCCAGACUGCCGUUGACAAAACGGAGGAAGGUGGGGAUGACGUCAAAUCAUCAUGCCCUUUAUGACUUGGGCUACACACGUACUACAAUGGCGUUAAACAAAGAGAAG